rnacentral:rRNA from 1 species
AUUGAACGCUGGCGGCGGGCCUAACACAUGCAAGUCGAACGAGUGGCGGACGGGUGUGAAAUGUCUGGGAACCUGCCUUAUGACGGGGGAUAACUCCUGGAACCGGUAGCUAAUACCGCAUACCAUCAACUGUGCCCUGGUUGGAUUAGCUUGUUGGUGGGGUAACGGCUAACCAAGGCGACGAUCCCUAGCUGGUCUGAGAGGGUGACCAGCCACACUGGAACUGAGACACGGUCCAGACUCCUACGGGAGGCAGCAGUGGGGAAUAUUGCACAAUGGGCGAAAGCCUGAUGCAGCCAUGCCGCGUGUAUGAAGAAGGCCUUCGGGUUGUAAAGUACUUUCAGCGGGGAGGCGUUACCUGAAGAAGAAGCACCGGCUAACUCCGUGCCAGCAGCCGCGGUAAUUC